GACGAACGCUGGCGGCGUGCUUAACACAUGCAAGUCGAACGGAAAGGCCCUGCUUUUGUGGGGUGCUCGAGUGGCGAACGGGUGAGUAACACGUGAGUAACCUGCCCUUGACUUUGGGAUAACUUCAGGAAACUGGGGCUAAUACCGGAUAGGAGCUCCUGCUGCAUGGUGGGGGUUGGAAAGUUUCGGCGGUUGGGGAUGGACUCGCGGCUUAUCAGCUUGUUGGUGGGGUAGUGGCUUACCAAGGCUUUGACGGGUAGCCGGCCUGAGAGGGUUACCGGCCACAUUGGGACUGAGAGACGGCCCAGACUCCUACGGGAGGCAGAAGUGGGGAAUAUUGCACAAUGGGCGGAAGCCUGAUGCAGCAACGCCGCGUGCGGGAUGACGGCCUUCGGGUUGUAAACCGCUUUCGCCUGUGACGAAGCGUGAGUGACGGUAAUGGGUAAAGAAGCACCGGCUAACUACGUG
rnacentral:rRNA from 1 species